rnacentral:rRNA from 1 species
UACGUAGGGUGCAAGCGUUAAUCGGAAUUACUGGGCGUAAAGCGCACGUAGGCGGCUUUGUAAGUUAGAGGUGAAAGCCUGGGGCUCAACUCCGGAAUUGCCUUUAAGACUGCAUCGCUAGAAUUGUGGAGAGGUAAGUGGAAUUCCGAGUGUAGAGGUGAAAUUCGUAGAUAUUCGGAAGAACACCAGUGGCGAAGGCGACUUACUGGACACAUAUUGACGCUGAGGUGCGAAAGCGUGGGGAGCAAACAGG